rnacentral:piRNA from 1 species
UGGCAAUCUGAAAUGAUCGAU